UGGGGAAUAUUGGACAAUGGGCGAAAGCCUGAUCCAGCCAUGCCGCGUGUGUGAAGAAGGUCUUCGGAUUGUAAAGCACUUUAAGUUGGGAGGAAGGGUUGUAGAUUAAUACUCUGCAAUUUUGACGUUACCGACAGAAUAAGCACCGGCUAACUCUGUGCCAGCAGCCGCGGUAAUACAGAGGGUGCAAGCGUUAAUCGGAAUUACUGGGCGUAAAGCGCGCGUAGGUGGUUAGUUAAGUUGGAUGUGAAAUCCCCGGGCUCAACCUGGGAACUGCAUUCAAAACUGACUGACUAGAGUAUGGUAGAGGGUGGUGGAAUUUCCUGUGUAGCGGUGAAAUGCGUAGAUAUAGGAAGGAACACCAGUGGCGAAGGCGACCACCUGGACUGAUACUGACACUGAAGUGCGAAAGCGUGGGGAGCAAACA
rnacentral:rRNA from 1 species